rnacentral:lncRNA from 1 species
GGGAGCCGCGGGGCAGCCGCUGCCGGGCCCCGAGGGCUGGGGCGGCUGCAGGUGGCAGGUGAGAUCAUAUGGAAUGAAGCAUUUUCAAAUAUAAGCCAAGAUUUCUCACAUCCACGUCAAUCUUAAUAUAGUUUUACCUAACUAUUCUUGGAAGUCCAUGCAUACCAUGAAGCAUUUUCUUCAAACCAAAACAAUCUAGACUUACUUCAAUUACAAGAGGAGUGACCUGCAGAGCAUCCAAGCACGUACAUGAGCAGGACUAUAGAAUGCCUUGUCCAAGCUACUGUUGUAGUGGAGAAAAAGGAGAAGACAGUGCGAAGAAUAAGCAAGGUACUUUCCAUAGAAGAUGCAGGUUAAAUGAACAAAGAGGUAUGGUGAACAUCCCUCGUUUUGGUGGGAAACACAUGGGAGCCUCAUUGCGUCUGGCACACUAUGUCAAGUCAAACACACGAGCUGAAGAAGUGCCUUGCUUUUGCUCAAUUAGGACUGUUUGCUUUGUGGACCUCCAUUAGCAAGUAUAAAUUUGUACAGUGGUCACCAUUUAAAAAUCAAUAUUUACCAAGGGUUAUCACAUCAUCAAGCCUAGGACACUAAGUAGUUCCGUAAACUUUGAGUAGAAAAUAAUACUGCGAUCUGGUAAAUAUUUAACACACGUAUCAUUUUAUGGUAACCACUACUUUUGAUACAGGUGUUCAUUACCUCUUCCUAGCUAAACCCUCCAUUAAAUUACAUUGCACUGGACUUAGGCUUCACUUCAGCCAGAUUUCAGUUAAAGGAAGUGGGAAGAAAAAUACAAUGAAACUGACUUUAUAAUGAAUAUAAUGAAAAUAACUGUAAUGAAUAAUCACUUUAAUUUUUGAUGCCCUCUUAUCCCAAAGCAUAUGAUUCAGCAGGGAUUCUCUGUGGAAGUACUGAAUAGAUGGCUAAAAUAGAUCUAGGUAAAAAGAACUCAGGUUCCUUUUUCCUCUGGGUGUAGUAGGGUAUUUUCUGUUUGGCAAGGAAGGCUCCCCAGUAGCUAGCUACACUGUCCAGUUUCUUUCAGUAUAACCACCCUUCCUUUGAUGUGGAAGUAACAGAUGUUUAAGACAUAAGAAAUUAGAUAGACUGUGAUUACUGAGAAACAAGUUAAUUUCAAUUCAUUACUUGAUGUUCUCAUUCACUUGUUCUGAAAAUGACAGUAGUUAGUAGGGUUGUUGGUUUUUUUAAUUGACAUAUUUUAUGUUUAACAAUCAACUUAAACUUAACCUAUGCACACCUCUAAUUUUGAAACACAUCAUUUGCGAGCUAAUAUGUUACUUUUUCAUCGUAAAUUGGAGUUAUUUCCAAAAUGGCUUCACUUUAAUUAUAUGUACGUGUACAACUUAGCCAGCUUGUUUUCUUGUGGGUAGUAAGAAGAGGUAAGGAGAACACAGGAAGUAACAGAUUAGUUUUUCCUCUUUUCACAAAACAAGUUUCAUUCCCCCUCCAGUUUCCUAAAAAAAGAGGUGUUUCAGAAAAGCCAGAGGAAGGGCU